AUAUCCUUUCAACUUUUAAUAAACACUUGAUACUGGAAACAAAAACGAGAGCUUAUACUUGACAUAGACAAUUAAUCAGAUAAUCCUCUACAAAAAAGAUAAGAGGCAAUGUCAAUUAAGUUGUGAUAGAUCUAUAGAUCCAACAUUCCAUCUAAAUAUGAAAUCGUGGUACUUGAUAAAAAAUACAUGGUUAUCCCUUCAUGAAAGAACUGAGUUAAUGUCCCGGACAACAAAAGCUAUAUCCAUUCUAGCCAUUAGUAGGAUGUCCGGACAACAAAAGCUAUAUCCAUUCUAGCCAUUAGUAGGAUGACGCUAGCAACUGCUGGGAAAUUUGUUCACUGUGGUAGUAUAAGAAUGUCGUUAAGAGUUUUGGGUAUAGUUGAGGAAUGACCAAAAACUCAUAUAAAUGACUUUGAAUACCUUGUUGAAAACUAAAAUGGAGCUGCAUAGCAAUGUUCGGCUAAUGUAUAUAUCAAAUCACCAUGAUUUUAUAUAAAACAUCUGCAUAGCACCCAAAACAUCGUAGGCAACAUGUGAACUAUAAACAAAAGGAAUUGACAUGAACUGCUGCUGGCCCUGGUUAGAUUUAAAUGAAUUCCAACACCUAAAAAAAUCCUUAAUUUCUUAAUACUACAAGAUGGAUAACGAGGUGUUAAACAACAGUUGAGCAAAGAAACACGCCAAACCAUUUACUUGAUAUCUAACUCGAAUAUUGAAUCCAAACAUAAGAAAACAUGUACUUGAAGCCAUGUAAAAAAAUGAACAAAAGUUAAAAGAAAACUAAAUGAACAGAGAAAACUGAC
rnacentral:lncRNA from 1 species